UACGGGGGGGAGCAAGCGUUGUUCGGAUUUACUGGGCGUAAAGGGCGCGUAGGCGGUCGUGACAAGUCACUUGUGAAAUCUCCGGGCUUAACUCGGAACGGUCAAGUGAUACUGUCGGACUAGAGUACAGAAGGGGCAACUGGAAUUCUCGGUGUAGCGGUGAAAUGCGUAGAUAUCGAGAGGAACACCAGUGGCGAAGGCGGCUCACUGGUCCGGUACUGACGCUGAGGUGCGAAAGCGCGGGGAGCGAACGGG
rnacentral:rRNA from 1 species